GACGAACGCUGGCGGCGUGCUUAACACAUGCAAGUCGAACGGUGAUAGGGAGCUUGCUCCCUGGAUCAGUGGCGAACGGGUGAGUAACACGUGGGCAACCUGCCCCAGACUUCGGGAUAACGCUUCGAAAGGAGUGCUAAUACCGGAUACGAACUCCUUGGGCAUCCUUGGGGUUGGAAAGUUUUUCGGUCUGGGAUGGGCCCGCGGCCUAUCAGCUUGUUGGUGAGGUAACGGCUCACCAAGGCGACGACGGGUAGCCGGCCUGAGAGGACGACCGGCGACAAUGGGACUGAGACACGGCCGAGACUCCUACGGGAGGCAGCAGUGGGGAAUAUUGCGCAAUGGGCGAAAGCCUGACGCAGCAACGCCGCGUGAGGGAUGACGGCCUUCGGGUUGUAAACCUCUUUCAGCAGGGAAGAAGCGAAAGUGACGGUACCUGCAGAAGAAGCACCGGCUAACUACGUGCCAGCCGCCGCCGUAA
rnacentral:rRNA from 1 species